CCCACAGGUCCCCGGAGUGCGGGAACCACCCAGGCUGGGGAGCAUGCAGAGGAAGGCAGGUCCUUCUGAGCCCAGGUAGCCAUCUGACAUUCCUUGUCAGAGCUUGGAGAACCUCAAGAAUGAAGAAGGCCCAGAUCUUUUGCUUCUCUGGCUUAGGAAGAUCAGAGGAGACAUAAAAUUGCUGCUGCUCUGGGAAAACCUGGGAGAGGUAACCAUGGAGACUUUGACCUCAAGGCCUAGGGAGAGAGGUUGAGAGUUCAUGAAGGGGGUGCGGUGGGGGAGAAUCGAGCCGGGUGUGGAGAGAGAAGAAACCAGUUCGUGACGCAGCAGACGUUGCUGAGGUCCAGGUAGAGAGUCUGCAAACACAGGCAGGAGCCACAUCUUCUCAUGGCCUUCCUUCUCCUCCCGCAGCUCUCCGUUCUCAAGUCUCAGCCCUUUCCCAGGAUGGGGAGGACAGGACAGUUUCAGCAGAUCAAAGAUUUGAAAGGUCAGCUCUCACUGUUAGCCAGAUGGAGAGAUGGUGCGUUCACACCAUUGAAAGGGGCAUUUUUAGUCUUCUUGGAAGUUCUGCACACGUCUGCUCCAAUAUUUCCUACUCUUAAGAAUUCAUUCCAAAUCAGAGCGAGUAUUCAAAGACUGAUCAUUACAACGUUGUUCGUAACAGCAAAAAAAGAGAAAAAACCGUGGGGUGGACUCCAUGUCCGUCCAUUGGAUUGAUGUUGGAUUGAUGGACUGUUACAUUUUGUUUCUUCUCACGUCCAGGUCCUGUGCCACUGUCAAAUGUGGUCACAAGCUGAUGAAAAUAUCAGGACAUGGAAAGACGCGCUCGCUCUCUCUCUCACAUACACACACACCGUAGAUCUGUGCAUAUGUGUUAACUCAUUUUUCCUUUAGGUUGCAAGAAAAAGAAAUCAAAGCAGUUUGCAAAAUUUUAAGUACGUGCUCUUUUCGGCGCGUGCAAAAUUAUUUUACAAAGCUUCCUUUUUUUACGAAAAGACGUUAUGGAAAAAUUCGGAAGGUUUGAGUUACUUCCUUACUGUACGCUUUAAUUGUAAAUGUUAUUGGGGAACUUCCCGCCACGAGGGCUGAAGAAAUUAACACGGUUCUACUUCCCACCAGCUCCUGGUAUGAUCCUGUCGUUACCGUCAUCACCUUCUGAGGGUUGUCACCACCGAUUCCCACAGUGAGCUUGUGUCAGUUCUCUCCGUAGCGGUCAUUGUCCGCCACCUGUCUCUGGUUUCUGUAGUCCUGGCGUCACUGACUUGCCUGUUGGCUGGCUCAGCGUCAUUCCACGAUUUGCUU
rnacentral:lncRNA from 1 species